CCGGGGACCCCGGGGCUGUGGGCCCCCGGGGCUGUGGGAAACUGCGGGACUCAAUCAAGUAGCCUCCCCCCCCUACUUUCCAAAGUGCAUUAACCCACUCCCCUGACCCCACACUGGGGCAGGUCCCCAGUGUGCAAGCUCGGUGUUCAUGGUGUUGGGGGAAGGAGAGUUUUCCGGGGUCUUGUAAAAAAAAAAAAAA